ACAUAAUUUUCUCGUAAACUUUGCCAUGCUUUAUUUUCUUUUGCUUUAUCAGAAUUCUUAUUAACAUUGCUAACAGGUGUGCCUUUCAGAUCUGUUUCAAGAAGUGAUGUUGCUGCAUAUAAAAAAUAUAGAUGACAAGUUAACGAAUCU
rnacentral:ribozyme from 12 species